CCUACGGGAGGCUGCAGUGAGGAAUAUUGGUCAAUGGACGUGAGUCUGAACCAGCCAAGUCGCGUGAAGGAUGACUGCCCUAUGGAUUGUAAACUUCUUUUAUAUGGGAAUAAAGUGUUCCACGUGUGGGAUUUUGUAUGUACCAUAUGAAUAAGGAUCGGCUAACUCCGUGCCAGCAGCCGCGGUAAUACGGAGGAUCCGAGCGUUAUCCGGAUUUAUUGGGUUUAAAGGGUGCGUAGGUGGAUUGUUAAGUCAGUGGUGAAAGUUUGUGGCUCAACCGUAAAAUUGCAGUUGAAACUGGGAGUCUUGAGUACAGUAGAGGCGGGCGGAAUGCGUGGUGUAGCGGUGAAAUGCUUAGAUAUCACGAAGAACCCCGAUUGCGAAGGCAGCCCACCGGACUGUAACUGACACUGAGGCUCGAAAGCGUGGGUAUCAAACAGGAUUAGAUACCCGAGUAGUC
rnacentral:rRNA from 1 species